rnacentral:misc_RNA from 1 species
GAUGAAGAACGUAGCGAAAUGCGACAAGUAAUGUGAAUUGCAGAAUUCAGUGAAUCAUCGAAUCUUUGAACGCACCUUGCGCUCCUUGGUAUUCCGAGGAGCAUGCCUGUUUGAGUGUCAUUAAUAUAUCAACCUUCUCUUUUUUGAGUUGUUUGGAUGUGGGGGUUUGCUGGCCUCUUAAAUGAUUCAGCUCCCCUGAAAUGCAUUAGCAGAACAACCUGUUCAUUAGCGUGAUAAUUAUCUAUGCUAUUGAAUGUGAGGGCAGUUCAGCUUUCUAACCGUCCUUGGACAAUUCAUCAUUAAUGUGACCUCAAAUCAGGUAGGACUACCCGCUGAACUUAAGCAUAUCAAUAAGCGGAGGA